rnacentral:rRNA from 1 species
GACGAACGCUGGCGGCGUGCUUAACACAUGCAAGUCGAACGAAGAGCGAUGGAAGCUUGCUUCUAUCAAUCUUAGUGGCGAACGGGUGAGUAACGCGUAAUCAACCUGCCCUUCAGAGGGGGACAACAGUUGGAAACGACUGCUAAUACCGCAUACGAUCUAAUCUCGGCAUCGAGGUUAGAUGAAAGGUGGCCUCUACAUGUAAGCUAUCACUGAAGGAGGGGAUUGCGUCUGAUUAGCUAGUUGGAGGGGUAACGGCCCACCAAGGCGAUGAUCAGUAGCCGGUCUGAGAAGAUGAACGGCCACAUUGGGACUGAGACACGGCCCAGACUCCUACGGGAGGCAGCAGUGGGGAAUCUUCCGCAAUAGACGAAAGUCUGACGGAGCAACGCCGCGUGAGUGAUGACGGCCUUCGGGUUGUAAAGCUCUGUUAAUCGGGACGAAAGGCCUUCUUGCGAAUAGUGAGAAGGAUUGACGGUACCGGAAUAGAAAGCCACGGCUAACUACGUG